rnacentral:rRNA from 1 species
GACGAACGCUGGCGGCGCGCCUAACACAUGCAAGUCGAACGGAGUCUUUUGGAAGCUUGCUUUUGGAGGACUUAGUGGCGGACGGGUGAGUAACACGUGAGCAACCUGCCUUAAAGAGGGGGAUAACGUCUGGAAACGGACGCUAAUACCGCAUAAUCCAUCGGUAUGGCAUCAUACUGGUGGCAAAGGAGUCAAAUCCGCUUUAAGAUGGGCUCGCGCCCGAUUAGGUAGUUGGUGAGGUAAAGGCCCACCAAGCCUGCGAUCGGUAGCCGGACUGAGAGGUUGAACGGCCACAUUGGGACUGAGACACGGCCCAGACUCCUACGGGAGGCAGCAGUGGGGAAUAUUGCACAAUGGGGGAAACCCUGAUGCAGCGACGCCGCGUGAGUGAUGACGGUCUUCGGAUUGUAAAGCUCUGUUGCAGAGGACGAUAAUGACGGUACUCUGUGAGGAAGCCACGGCUAACUACGUGCCAGCAGCCGCGGUAAUACGUAGGUGGCAAGCGUUGUCCGGAAUUACUGGGCGUAAAGGGAGCGUAGGCGGGAAUCCAAGUUGGGUGUGAAAUACCUGGGCUUAACCCAGGGGCUGCACCCAAAACUGGGAUUCUUGAGUGAUGUAGAGGCAGGCGGAAUUCCUAGUGUAGCGGUGAAAUGCGUAGAUAUUAGGAGGAACACCAGUGGCGAAGGCGGCCUGCUGGGCAUUAACUGACGCUGAGGCUCGAAAGCGUGGGGAGCAAACAGGAUUAGAUACCCUGGUAGUCCACGCUGUAAACGAUGAUUACUAGGUGUGGGGGGACUGACCCCUUCCGUGCCGGAGUUAACACAAUAAGUAAUCCACCUGGGGAGUACGGCCGCAAGGUUG